rnacentral:rRNA from 1 species
AUUGAACGCUGGCGGCAGGCCUAACACAUGCAAGUCGAGCGGUAGAGAGAAGCUUGCUUCUCUUGAGAGCGGCGGACGGGUGAGUAAUGCCUAGGAAUCCGCCUGGUAGGGGGGGAUAACGUUCGGAAACGGACGCUAAUACCGCAUACGUCCUACGGGAGAAAGCAGGGGGCCUUCGGGCCUUGCGCUAUCAGAUGAGCCUAGGUCGGAUUAGCUAGUUGGUGAGGUAAUGGCUCACCAAGGCGACGAUCCGUAACUGGUCUGAGAGGAUGAUCAGUCACACUGGAACUGAGACACGGUCCAGACUCCUACGGGAGGCAGCAGUGGGGAAUAUUGGACAAUGGGCGAAAGCCUGAUCCAGCCAUGCCGCGUGUGUGAAGAAGGUCUUCGGAUUGUAAAGCACUUUAAGUUGGGAGGAAGGGUUGUAGAUUAAUACUCUGCAAUUUUGACGUUACCGACAGAAUAAGCACCGGCUAACUCUGUGCCAGCCGCCGCGGUAA